rnacentral:rRNA from 1 species
UCAGUCGACUCCUACGGGGAGGCAGCAGUGGGGAAUAUUGCACAAUGGGGGAAACCCUGAUGCAGCCAUGCCGCGUGUGUGAAGAAGGCCUUCGGGGUUGUAAAGCACUUUCAGUAGGGAGGAAGGUAGUGUAGUUAACACCUGCAUUAUUUGACGUUACCUACAGAAGAAGCACCGGCUAACUCCGUGCCAGCAGCCGCGGUAAUACGGAGGGUGCGAGCGUUAAUCGGAAUUACUGGGCGUAAAGCGCAUGCAGGCGGCCUGUUAAGUCAGAUGUGAAAGCCCGGGGCUUAACCUCGGAAUUGCAUUUGAAACUGGCAGGCUAGAGUCUUGUAGAGGGGGGUAGGAAUUUCAGGUGUAGCGGUGAAAUGCGUAGAGAUCUGAAGGAAUACCAGUGGCGAAGGCGGCCCCCUGGACAAAGACUGACGCUCAGAUGCGAAAGCGUGGGGAGCAAACAGGAUUAGAUACCCUGGUAG